rnacentral:rRNA from 1 species
GAUGAACGCUGGCGGCGUGCCUAAUACAUGCAAGUCGAGCGAACGGACGAGAAGCUUGCUUCUCUGAUGUUAGCGGCGGACGGGUGAGUAACACGUGGAUAACCUACCUAUAAGACUGGUAUAACUUCGGGAAACCGUAGCUAAUACCGUAUAAUAUUUUGAACCGCAUGGUUCAAAAGUGAAAGACGUUCUUGCUGUCACUUAUAGAUGGAUCCGCGCUGCAUUAGCUAGUUGGUAAGGUAACGGCUUACCAAGGCAACGAUGCAUAGCCGACCUGAGAGGGUGAUCGGCCACACUGGAACUGAGACACGGUCCAGACUCCUACGGGAGGCAGCAGUAGGGAAUCUUCCGCAAUGGGAGAAAGCCUGACGGAGCAACGCAGCGUGAGUGAUGAAGGUCUUCGGAUCGUAAAACUCUGUUAUUAGGGAAGAACAUAUGUGUAAGUAACUGUGCACAUCUUGACGGUACCUAAUCAGAAAGCCACGGCUAACUACGUG